UGGGUUGCAGCUCAGGGGUAGAGCGCUCGCCUAGCAUGUGUGAGGCCCUGGGUUCAAUCCUCAGCACCACAU
rnacentral:tRNA from 1 species